rnacentral:rRNA from 1 species
UACGGGGGGGGCAAGCGUUGUUCGGAAUUACUGGGCGUAAAGGGCUCGUAGGUGGCCAACUAAGUCGGACGUGAAAUCCCUCGGCUUAACCGGGGAACUGCGUCCGAUACUGGUUGGCUUGAGUUUGGGAGAGGGAUGCGGAAUUCCAGGUGUAGCGGUGAAAUGCGCAGAUAUCAGGAGGAACACCGGUGGCGAAGGCGGGUCUCUGGGCCGAAAUUGACGCUGAGGAGCGAAAGCGUGGGGAGCAAACAGG